CGCUACAUCAGGGGUUAAGUAAAAUUAGUUUAUUAUUUGCUAGGCGACUACGUUCGGAUGAAUAAAAGUCGAAGUACUUGGCGGCUUAAAAUAUCUCAGCCCGUGAGACUUGACGGUUAAUUUGAUGAUCCGCGUUGUAUUGUACUUGUCUUUGAAAGUGUUUAAUUCAGUUGGUGUAUGGCCGUUGUCAGCCUAUGUUUUGAGGUUUUUAGUUAUAGGCACAAUUCAAUUUAAUAGUUUAUUUUGGGUGAAGGCAGGUCGUUAUGCUGCCUAUAGGCAAGGCUUAGUUGAGUCGCAUUAAUUAGAUUGAACGGAUUCCUAGAUGAAAAGCUGGGUUGAAGAAGGAAUGGGUAGUAAUAGGGAAGAAGUGUGUCUGUAUGAAUGGAAAAUUUUUAAGUGUACAAAUCGCC
rnacentral:rRNA from 1 species